rnacentral:rRNA from 1 species
GAUGAACGCUGGCGGCGUGCCUAAUACAUGCAAGUCGAGCGAACAGACGAGGAGCUUGCUCCUCUGACGUUAGCGGCGGACGGGUGAGUAACACGUGGAUAACCUACCUAUAAGACUGGGAUAACUUCGGGAAACCGGAGCUAAUACCGGAUAAUAUAUUGAACCGCAUGGUUCAAUAGUGAAAGACGGUUUUGCUGUCACUUAUAGAUGGAUCCGCGCCGCAUUAGCUAGUUGGUAAGGUAACGGCUUACCAAGGCAACGAUGCGUAGCCGACCUGAGAGGGGGAUAGGCCACACUGGAACUGAGACACGGUCCAGACUCCUACGGGAGGCAGCAGUAGGGAAUCUUCCGCAAAGGGCGAAAGCCUGACGGAGCAACGCCGCGUGAGUGAUGAAGGUCUUCGGAUCGUAAAACUCUGUUAUUAGGGAAGAACAAAUGUGUAAGUAACUAUGCACGUCUUGACGGUACCUAAUCAGAAAGCCACGGCUAACUACGUG